rnacentral:rRNA from 1 species
GACGAACCGUGCGAACGUUAUUCGGAAUCACUGGGCUUAAAGGGCGCGUAGGCGGGUCGGUAAGUCAGGGGUGAAAUCCCACGGCUCAACCGUGGAACGGCCCCGGGUACGGGCGGCCUCGAGGAAGGUAGGGGCGUGCGGAACUGUGGGUGGAGCGGUGAAAUGCGUUGAUAUCCACAGGAACUCCGGUGGCGAAGGCGGCACGCUGGACCUUUUCUGACGCUGAGGCGCGAAAGCCAGGGGAGCGAACGGG